AUCACCUGGGGAUAUUGUUCAAAUGUAAAUUCCAAUUCCCUUGGUUUGGAAUGGGGCCUGAAAUUCUGCAUUCCUAACAAGCUCCCAUUGUCCCA
rnacentral:pre_miRNA from 1 species